CGCCGAUUGCUCGACAGCGUCGCAUCGUAAUCAGUGCGGCUGCGUUGCGGGGCGAUUAAUGUGUCAUUGAAGAGCAAGACUAUAGGAUGAUAUAGCGUGACAUACAGAUGUGUCCAAUCCGACAAUAACACGACUCUCUUUGUUUAUUUUCCAGCAUCAGUUCGGGAUUAUAGGUGUUGCGGCGCAGCUGAUGCGCGUCUAGAUGCGCCCUCCUCCUCCUCUCUAUCUCUAGUCCAGACACUGCCGCAUCUCCUCCAUCUCCUCCAUCAUGGGGAACCGGGGCAUGGAGGAUCUCAUCCCGCUGGUCAACCGGCUGCAGGACGCCUUCAGCUCCAUCGGCCAGAGCUGUAACCUGGACCUGCCGCAGAUCGCGGUGGUGGGCGGCCAGAGCGCCGGGAAGAGCUCGGUGCUGGAGAACUUCGUGGGGAGGGAUUUUCUGCCCCGUGGAUCCGGCAUCGUCACUCGCAGACCCCUGGUUCUGCAGCUCAUCAGUGCAAACGCAGAGUGGGCCGAGUUCCUGCACUGCAAAGGGAAGAAGUUCACUGAUUUCGAUGAGGUCCGUCAGGAGAUCGAGGCUGAGACCGACCGCGUCACCGGGGCCAAUAAGGGCAUUUCCCCCAUUCCCAUCAACCUGCGGGUUUAUUCCCCACACGUGCUGAAUCUGACCCUCAUCGACCUGCCGGGCAUCACUAAAGUGCCGGUGGGAGAUCAGCCGGCUGACAUCGAGCAUCAGAUCCGAGACAUGAUCAUGCAGUUCAUCUGCCGCGAGAGCUGCCUGAUCCUGGCUGUCACUCCGGCUAACACUGACCUGGCCAACUCUGACGCGCUCAAACUGGCCAAAGACGUCGACCCUCAGGGCCAGAGGACCAUCGGUGUGAUCACUAAACUCGACCUGAUGGAUGAAGGAACAGACGCACGAGACGUUCUGGAGAACAAGCUCCUGCCUCUGCGCCGCGGGUACAUCGGCGUGGUGAACCGCAGUCAGAAAGACAUCGACGGGAAGAAGGACAUCAGAGCGGCUCUGGCGGCAGAGAGGAAGUUCUUUCUGUCUCAUCCGGCCUACAGACACAUAGCAGACAGCAUGGGCACCCCACACCUGCAGAAGGUCCUCAAUCAGCAACUGACCAACCACAUCCGGGACACGCUGCCUGCCUUCCGCAGUAAACUGCAGUCGCAGCUGCUGUCUCUGGACCGAGAGGCGGAGGAGUACCGGCAGUACCGGCCCGACGACCCGUCACGCAAGACCAAAGCCCUGCUGCAGAUGGUGCAGCAGUUCUCGGUGGACUUCGAGAAGCGUAUCGAAGGCUCUGGUGAUCAGGUGGACACCGUGGAGCUGUCUGGAGGAGCCAAGAUCAACCGCAUCUUCCACGAGCGCUUCCCUUUCGAGCUGGUCAAGAUGGAGUGUGACGAGAAGGAGAUGCGGCGGGAAAUCAGCUACGCUAUCAAGAACAUCCAUGGCAUCAGGACGGGUCUGUUCACUCCAGACAUGGCCUUCGAGGCGAUCGUGAAGAAGCAGGUGGUGAAGAUCAAGGAGCCGUGUAUUAAGUGUAUUGAUCUGGUGGUUCAGGAGCUGAUCAACACGGUGCGUCAGUGCUCUGAUAAGCUGGAUUCGUUCCCUUGUCUGCGGGAGGAGACGGAGCGGAUCGUCACGUCUCAUAUCCGUGACAGAGAGAGCAAAGCCAAAGAGCAGGUGCUGCUGCUCAUCGACGUUCAGCUCGCGUACAUCAACACCAACCACGAGGAUUUCAUCGGCUUCGCCAAUGCUCAGCAGCGCAGCAGUCAGGCGAAUAAGAAGAGCUCUGCAGGGAAUCAGGAGCUCCAGGUGAUCCGUAAGGGCUGGCUGACCAUCAAUAACAUCAGCAUCAUGAAGGGAGGAGCGAAGGAGUACUGGUUCGUGCUGACCGCCGAGAGCCUGUCCUGGUUCAAAGAUGACGAGGAGAAAGAGAAGAAGUACAUGCUGCCCCUGGACAAUCUGAAGGUCAAAGAUGUGGAGAAAAGCUUCAUGUCCAGCAAGCACAUGUUUGCCAUCUUCAACACGGAGCAGCGGAACGUGUUCAAGGACAACCGUUUCUUGGAGCUGGCGUGUGACACUCUGGAGGAGGUGGAGAGCUGGAGAGCGUCGCUGCUGCGCGCCGGCGUUUAUCCCGAGAGGGCCGUGGUGGAGAGUGAGAGUUCUGGCCCGUCGGAGAACUUCUCCAUGGAUCCUCAGCUGGAGAGGAAGGUGGAGACCAUCAGGAACCUGGUGGACUCCUACAUGGCCAUCGUCAACAAAUGCAUCCGCGACCUCAUGCCCAAGAGCAUCAUGCAUCUGAUGAUCAAUAACGUGAAGGAGUUCAUUAACGCGGAGCUCCUGGCGCAGCUGUACUCGGCUGGAGAUCAGAACGCUCUGAUGGACGAGUCUCAGGAGCAGGUGCAGCGGCGCGAGGAGGUUCUGCGCACACACCACGCUCUGAAAGAAGCUCUGGCCAUCACCGGAGACAUCUCCACCACCACCAUCUCCACACCGCUGCCUCCGCCGGUGGAUAACUCCUGGCUGAGCGCCGGCGCCGGCUCCCGCAGGUCUCCUCCUCCGAGCCCCACGGCUCCGCGCCGGAUGUCUGCGGGACAGAGACCUGCUGGGAGAGGUGCUCCUGCGCCUCCGUCUCGCCCCGGACCCUUGGGGCCCCUGAACAACAGCGCUGACAGCCCACAGGUUCCCAGCCGGCCCAACCGAGCGCCUCCCAGCAUUCCCAGUGUCCGUGAGUCCAGAAGACCUGCUAAAGACCAAACAGGGAACAGGACCAACGCCUCCCGCAUCCUGAGAGAUCAGAGACCCGUCUGUGCCCUGCAGAGAGCAGGAGAUCCCCAGCUCCUCGAAGCUGUGGACCAAGAUCAUGCUGGAGGUCAGAUCACACACCUUUCUGACGGCCUUCACACUGCGGGGAAGAAGCUUCAGCAGACCGUCACCAACUACGCCUCUGUGGAGUGUGGAGCCAAGAUCCUAUCCUCUAGCCCCGAGGCCAAGGUUCAUCAGCAUGUCUGAUCCCGUCUGUGUUUGACACCGAGUUACUGUGAGACAGGCACUGAACUCCAGAGUUAACUACACAUAUUACUGUUUUUCAUCAGCAGGAUUUUGUCUAAAUAAGGUCAAUAAGAGAAUCAAUUAAGUGUAAUGAAUUUUUCAGUUUUUCCAGAGCACUUCUGCUAUUCUGAUGGAGAGCAUGUACAUGCUGAAUCCCUGCAAUAACAAGAUCUGGUGGGCCGAUUAGACUGUUUGUUUUAACGUCAGGCAAAACUAUUCUGUGUGAUAAUUGUUGUGUGUUGCUGUGAUUGAUCUGAAGUCUUGCUGUUGUCCGUGUGUAUGUUUGUUUCAGGAUCAGAGACAGACAGACUGCAUCCACGCGCUGCAGGCUCAGCUGGAGAACGUGAUGCAGCUCGUCCUCAGUCUGUCUGUCAGCGUGAGUCGACUGCAGUGAGAGAGAGCUGUCUGAUGAUGAAGCCGUGCUGCUGAGACGCAGAGCCUCUGAUCCGAUUUCACUCUCGUCCCUGCAGAUGCCUGUCGGAGGUUCUGAAGAAACCAGCAGCCAUAAACAGUGGGAAGAUUGCCCAGUUAGUAGAAAAAAGAAGCAGAAAGUGAAGCUCAGCAGAGGUCUGGAGACAUGGUCCACUCCAUCGUUCCCUCACACAUCUUUUGGGUUUGGAGUUGGUUUUUUGUGUCGACGGCAGAGACGUGAUGUUCAACGGCACCUCUGAAGGCUCCUCGCAGGCCGACGAGACGCUGUUCUGUGGAAUCGUCAGCUGUGCUCGUCUGUGUGAGGCGUUACCUGCUCCGAAGCGCUGGACACAGCGGCCCACGCCAGACCGGCUCCGAGACUGAACCGAACCGGACUGAACCGGCUCCGAGACGCCCGAGAUAAUUGAACUGAACCGGACUGAACUGGCUGUGAGAUGCCCGAGAUAACUGAACUGAACCGGCUCUGAGAUGCCCGAGAGAACUGAACUGAACCGAACCGGACUGAACCGGCUCUGAGACGCCCGAGAGAACUGAACUGAACCGGACUGAACCGGCUCUGAGAUGC